GACGAACGCUGGCGGCGUGCCUAAUACAUGCAAGUUGAGCGCUGAAGGUUGGUACUUGUACCAACUGGAUGAGCAGCGAACGGGUGAGUAACGCGUGGGGAAUCUGCCUUGAGCGGGGGACAACAUUUGGAAACGAAUGCUAAUACCGCAUAAAAACUUUAAACACAAGUUUUAAGUUUGAAAGAUGCAAUUGCAUCACUCAAAGAUGAUCCCGCGUUGUAUUAGCUAGUUGGUGAGGUAAAGGCUCACCAAGGCGAUGAUACAUAGCCGACCUGAGAGGGUGAUCGGCCACAUUGGGACUGAGACACGGCCCAAACUCCUACGGGAGGCAGCAGUAGGGAAUCUUCGGCAAUGGACGAAAGUCUGACCGAGCAACGCCGCGUGAGUGCAGAAGGUUUUCGGAUCGUAAAACUCUGUUGGUAGAGAAGAACGUUGGUGAGAGUGGAAAGCUCAUCAAGUGGCGGUAACUACCCAGAAAGGGACGGCUAACUACGUG
rnacentral:rRNA from 1 species